rnacentral:rRNA from 1 species
GUAACAGGAAGCAGCUUGCUGCUUCGCUGACGAGUGGCGGACGGGUGAGUAAUGUCUGGGAAACUGCCUGAUGGAGGGGGAUAACUACUGGAAACGGUAGCUAAUACCGCAUAACGUCGCAAGACCAAAGAGGGGGACCUUCGGGCCUCUUGCCAUCGGAUGUGCCCAGAUGGGAUUAGCUAGUAGGUGGGGUAACGGCUCACCUAGGCGACGAUCCCUAGCUGGUCUGAGAGGAUGACCAGCCACACUGGAACUGAGACACGGUCCAGACUCCUACGGGAGGCAGCAGUGGGGAAUAUUGCACAAUGGGCGCAAGCCUGAUGCAGCCAUGCCGCGUGUAUGAAGAAGGCCUUCGGGUUGUAAAGUACUUUCAGCGGGGAGGAAGGCGAUAAGGUUAAUAACCUUGUCGAUUGACGUUACCCGCAGAAGAAGCACCGGCUAACUCCGUGCCAGCAGCCGCGGUAAUACGGAGGGUGCAAGCGUUAAUCGGAAUUACUGGGCGUAAAGCGCACGCAGGCGGUCUGUCAAGUCGGAUGUGAAAUCCCCGGGCUCAACCUGGGAACUGCAUUCGAAACUGGCAGGCUAGAGUCUUGUAGAGGGGGGUAGAAUUCCAGGUGUAGCGGUGAAAUGCGUAGAGAUCUGGAGGAAUACCGGUGGCGAAGGCGGCCCCCUGGACAAAGACUGACGCUCAGGUGCGAAA